rnacentral:rRNA from 1 species
GAUGAACGCUGGCGGUAUGCCUAACACAUGCAAGUCGUACGAGAGUUUUUAACUCUAGUGGCGGACGGGUGAGUAACACGUGAGAAUUUGCCUUUAGGAGGGGGACAACAAUCGGAAACGAAUGCUAAUACCCCAUAUGCUUUCGAGUGAAAUGGAUUUUAUCCGCCUAGAGAGAAGCUCGCGGCUGAUUAGCUUGUUGGUAAGGUAAGAGCUUACCAAGGCGACGAUCAGUAUCUGGUUUGAGAGGACGAUCAGACACACUGGAACUGAGACACGGUCCAGACUCCUACGGGAGGCAGCAGUAGGGAAUAUUGGACAAUGGGGGCAACCCUGAUCCAGCCAUUCCGCGUGCAGGAAUAAGGCCCUAUGGGUCGUAAACUGCUUUUGUAUGGGAAAAAAUCAUCUUACGUGUAGGAUGUUGAUGGUACCAUGAGAAUAAGGAUCGGCUAACUUCGUG